rnacentral:tRNA from 1 species
GCCGUUGUAGCUCAGUAGGUUAGAGCGCCUGAUUGUGGAUCAGGAGGUCCCCGGUUCGAGCCCGGGCUUCGGUUCCA